rnacentral:rRNA from 1 species
UACAGAGGGGGCAAGCGUUGUUCGGAAUUACUGGGCGUAAAGGGCGCGUAGGUGGCCUUCUAAGUUGAACGUGAAAUCCCUGGGCUCAACCCAGGAACUGCGUCCAAGACUGGGAGGCUUGAAUCCGGGAGAGGGAUGCGGAAUUCCAGGUGUAGCGGUGAAAUUCGUAGAUAUUCGGAAGAACACCAGUGGCGAAGGCGGCUCACUGGACCGGUAUUGACGCUGAGGUGCGAAAGCGUGGGGAGCAAACAGG